rnacentral:lncRNA from 1 species
AAGAAUGUUAGCAAUGGGGGAUUUAUUUCAUGGACAGCGCACCAAAGUCUCUUUUACUAAGAAUGUACAUGAACACUGAUAGGAAUAAGGGUAGUGAUUAUUAGAAUUGUAUCAAUAAUGAUAUUAUUGACAUUAAUAGGAUGUUGUAGGUAAAAAUUAUAUCGGUGGCUAAUCAGUUUUUGGUUUUGUUGACAAAUGUAGUCCUGAUAUUGAGAGAAGAUUCUGAGAAACUGUUCAUGCUGACUCUCCUUUGUCUGCUUCAGAGGUUCUGCUCCAUCAGCCCUGCAAGAAGCCCCACAGAGAAAAUAUUCACAUAACUUGAGAGCUGCAUGCCCUGUUAUCUUGCCAUGCUACCUGAUAACUGGUUUACAAGACAUCACAGGAUAUGGACUGUAGAAGGCUCUUACCUUGUAUUCAAAGCUAUGGCCAUGAAAGUGAACUGUGUGCAGGUCAGCUUCAUUCC